rnacentral:rRNA from 1 species
AUAUUCCUGAAAACACAAGGCUCUGGAGACAUGGGAUGUGCUGCUUCCCGAUUGGAAGAUGAGGAGGCUGUCAAGAUGUGCCGGGACAGGAGGGACUUCAUCAAGCAGGCACUGGAUCAGCGCAACCGUUUUGCGUCCUCUCACAUCGCCUACAUCGAAUCCAUGAAAUGUGUCUCGAUGGCCCUGCAGCGGUUCGUUGCUGGAGAUGAUCGGCACGAGCUCAUUUUUGACCCAUUCAUUUCUCCUGUCAAGCAACAGAAGCCAGAGAUGCUCGGCCUUCCUUAUGGUUCGUAUGAGAAGAGGACUGUUCAUGUCGCGAAGUACUUGAUGUCAGGACCAAACCCAUCAGUGUCAGUUGAAGAGGCUCCACGGCCCGUGGAAACAAUCCGUGUUGAGUCACAUUACCCUGUGGAUGGCUAUGGUGGCACAGAUAGAUUCUUCCCAGCCAAUUCCUCACCGAUGAGGCCAUCUUCUCACUAUACACCUUAUGACAGGCCAAGCUAUGUAGCUCCAUCACCCCAGGAACCAGUGAGGAAUGCUUAUUACAUGCCACCUUAUGACAGGCCAAGCUAUGUAGCUCCAUCACCGCAGGAGCCAGUGAGGAAUUCUUAUUACAUGCCACCUUAUGAGAAGCCAAACUACGUACCUCCAUCACCCCAGGAGCCAGUGAGGAAUUCCUCUUAUUACACGCCACCUUAUGACAGGCAAAGCUAUCCACCUGCUCCACCCCAGGAUCCAAGGAGGACAUCUUUUUACGCAUCUCAUGACAGGCCAAACUACCCACCCUCAUCACCCCAGGAACCAGAAUCAUCACCGUGGGACUCCUUCUGGAAUCCAUUCUCGUCGCUGGACAGCUAUCCGUACCCGCGCCCUCGGAGUAGCUAUGACAAUGUGGUCACUGACGAUGAAUUGGCACGGUUACAGCGGGUAAGAGAGGAGGAAGGAAUCCCAGAACUCGAAGAGGAAGACGAUGAAUGUCAAAAACAUGAACAAAUGCACAACAAAGAGGGGGAGGGGGAGGAAGAAGAAUCUGAUGAGGAUGAUGAUGAAGAAGAAGAAUCUGAUGAAUGUGAGCAUUCAGAUGACCAAAGAUGUAUGGCUUCUAACGAGGCUCGCCCAGGAAAAUCUGAAGUCAAUGUCAAGCAAGAACAAAAGGGACAUCAAUCCAAAGGUGUUCAAUGCGCAGGCUCAUCCGAGCCCCGAAAUGCAGUAGAUCAUGAGAUCAAGGCACAUAAGAAAGAACUAAUGAGGAACAAAGUAGCAAAUGCAGAAGAAACCCCAGGUUUCACUGUUUAUCUGAACCGAAGGCCAACGAGUUUGGUCGAGGCUAUGAAAGAUAUUGACAGUCAGUUUUUGGGGAUCUGUAGCGCUGCUCAGGAAGUCUCACGGAUGCUGGAGGCAAGUCGAGCUCAAUACUCAACCUCAAAUGAUCUCUCUGUAAAGAUGCUAAACCCAGUCGCACUUUUGCGAUCUGCAUCAAUUCGAUCAUCAUCUUCCCGCUUCCUUCUUGCUUCCUCUGGCUCAAUAGAUGAUCUUUUUGACAAUGAUACAAGCAGCUGUUACUCUGAAGAAUCUUGCAGCACAAUGUCUGGAAGUCAUCACUCCACUCUGGAUAGACUGUAUACAUGGGAGAAGAAAUUGUACAAAGAAGUAAAGGUGGGUGAGCGGUUAAGACUUGAGUAUGAGAAGAGGAUGACACAUUUGCGGAACCAGGAUGUGAAAGGGGAGGAGCCUUCUUCUGUCGAUAAGACUCGUUCAGCGUUGAGAAGCUUACAAACUCGGAUGAAGGUGUCAAUACAAACUGUUCAGUCAAUAUCAAGAAGAAUUGAAGUUCUAAGAGACGAGGAGUUGCACCCUCAACUUAUGGAGCUUAUCCAAGGACUGUCGCGGAUGUGGCGAGCCAUGGCUGAACGCCACGAGGCUCAGAAGCGGACCAUCGACGACGCCAAGCUUCUCUUUCUCCAACACCGCGCAUCGGCGGCGACCACCGUGGCUCUCGGUCCUCCGGAGGCGACGACGCCGCCUCCCGCCGCCGUCGCGCUCGAGUGCGAGGUGCGAGCCUGGCGCGGAGCCCUGGACGCCUGGCUGUCGGCGCAGCGCGCGUACACGCGCGCCCUGGCCGCCGGGCAUUGGCGCGGACGCCGCCACGCCGCGCACGGUGCCGCCGGCAUUCCUAGUGUGCAUGGAGUGGGGGCUCGCCGUCGAAGCGGCGUCGGAGGCGCGGGUGAUGGACGGGCUGGACUUCUUCGUGGCCGGCGUCGGGUCGGUGUGCUCGGGAGCUGCCGCGGGCAUGGAGGGCAUGGCGGGGCGCGUGCUGUGCGCCGGCUUGGGAGCCGUCACCGGCGCCAUGGCCGAGUUCGCCGCGGCAUCGGCGGACGGGUACGACGCCGCGGUGUCGGCGGCGGUGGCCGCGCGCGCGCCGGAGGGCGUGGAGGAGGAAAACGCGGGAGGACCGCCGCAACAGUAGGAAAUUCCGCAAAACCGUGGAUACUUUUUUUUUUUGGAGUUGGAACCGUGCCGUUACAUGUAGCUAGGAAGUCGAAGCAUGCAGUCACAUGUGUAAUUUUGUAG